ACUUGGAAACUCCGCUCGCCUGACUGCAG
rnacentral:piRNA from 1 species